UACGGGGGGGAGCAGCGUUGUUCGGAUUUACUGGGCGUAAAGGGCGCGUAGGCGGUCGUGACAAGUCACUUGUGAAAUCUCCGGGCUUAACCCGGAAACUGCCAUUGAUACUAUCUGUCUUGAAUACCGUGGAGGUGAGCGGAAUAUGUCAUGUAGCGGUGAAAUGCUUAGAUAUGACAUAGAACACCAAUUGCGAAGGCAGCUCACUACGCGAAUAUUGACACUGAGGCACGAAAGCGUGGGGAUCAAACAGG
rnacentral:rRNA from 1 species